GUCUUGGUAGUGUAAGGGAUAGAGCACAGAUGGAAAACACAAGUACGGGUUCGAGUCCCGUCCGAGACU
rnacentral:tRNA from 1 species